GUGGAUAGAGGGAGUAUCUUCAUUUAUACAUGAAAGGUAUAAAUCAAUUUAAACUGAGCAAGUUAUGACGAUUUAAAAUUUCUAUAUGUUAAAUAUUUUUUUGUGUUUCUUUUAGUUUUUUAAAAUAUUGUUUUAAAGUUGAGAUUAUUGACACGUUAAAACAUUUUUGUAGCGUUUUCUUUCCUUUUUUCUUCGUUAUUUUCUUAUUUGUGACAUUUCGAAUUUUCAUAUUAUGUAAUUCUAUUUAUUUACAUUGAUUUUUUU
rnacentral:lncRNA from 1 species